CUUUUACAAUGAAGAGUUUGAUCCUGGCUCAGGAUGAACGCUAGCUACAGGCUUAACACAUGCAAGUCGAGGGGCAUCGGGAAGAAAGCUUGCUUUCUUUGCCGGCGACCGGCGCACGGGUGAGUAACACGUAUCCAACCUGCCCUUUACUCGGGGAUAGCCUUUCGAAAGAAAGAUUAAUACCCGAUGGCAUAAUGAUUCCGCAUGGUUUCAUUAUUAAAGGAUUCCGGUAAAGGAUGGGGAUGCGUUCCAUUAGGUUGUUGGUGGGGUAACGGCCCACCAAGCCUUCGAUGGAUAGGGGUUCUGAGAGGAAGGUCCCCCACAUUGGAACUGAGACACGGUCCAAACUCCUACGGGAGGCAGCAGUGAGGAAUAUUGGUCAAUGGGCGCUAGC
rnacentral:rRNA from 1 species